UAGCCCCCCUGAAUCACUCUAAAGCAGGAGGGGGAGGGAUGGAGAGAUAAGAAGCCCUAUCGGCUUGGGAGCUCCGCUUAACAAUGAAAUCGGACAGGGAGCUUUGUUCUUCCCUGUUGGGAGGUGAGAGACCCUCUUCAUUACUCAAGUAGAAUCAGACAGAGGCUUUGCACAGGCACCCAGUGUGGUGUGUGCGAUUCCUGAGAACUCCCCGAGACUCACUUUCUUUAUUUACAGCAGAAUCUACCUGGGCCUUCCUCUCUGAAUGGAGGCUGGGCAAGCCCUCGGAAGGACUUUCCUACAGAGCUACCAGACAAAUGAUGUAUGGAUGACCUCCCAGUGUUUCGAGACCUUGACUUGGGAAACUACUCAGAGCUGGGGUCAGCUACCUUCUUGUUACACUGUUUUGGGCUGACAAAUUUUAUGACUUGUGGUCAUCUGUGGGCACGACACUUGAAUUGGUGAGGGCGUCAGAGCUGAGUGAAAACACUCUCUUGUUUUCAAAGUUCUCAAAGUCAACCUUGCCUGGAAAA
rnacentral:lncRNA from 1 species